rnacentral:tRNA from 1 species
AGCAGAGUAGAUAAGCGGUCAUCCCGCGUGGUUUAUACCCACGAAAUCGCAGGUUCGAUUCCUGCCUCUGCAACCA